rnacentral:misc_RNA from 1 species
GAUGAAGAACGCAGCGAAAUGCGAUAAGUAAUGUGAAUUGCAGAAUUCAGUGAAUCAUCGAAUCUUUGAACGCACAUUGCGCCCCUUGGUAUUCCGGGGGGCAUGCCUGUUCGAGCGUCAUUAUCACCCCUCAAGCUCAGCUUGGUGUUGGGGCCUGCCGUCAAGGCAGCCCUUAAAAUCAGUGGCGGCGCCAUCUGGCUCUAAGCGUAGUAAUUCUUCUCGCUAUAGAGUCCCGGUGGAUGCUUGCCAUUAACCCCCAAUUUUCUAUGGUUGACCUCGGAUCAGGUAGGGAUACCCGCUGAACUUAAGCAUAUCAAUAAGCGGAGGA